AAAGCAAAUACACUUCACGCAAUACAAAUACACUUCACGCUGUGUUCGGCAGCAGUGCACAAGAACAGAAUCAAACUUAAAAACAAGUAACACCAAUUCUCACCUGCAAAGGCAGAAGGUGUGUUACGAUUUGCACUGUUCGUGCACCGCCGCCGAACUGCGUGGCCCACUCGGUGAAGCCGUCCUUUUAUGCGUCUUUCACAACCAGCUGGCGUUGCGGCCACGUGAAGAUCCAAGCGCAGGCGCAGGACCACGGUGACCAAGCCUGCAGCGGAGCGUCCGUCCACGAGGUUGAUAAGGGCGGUCUUCCGUGAGUUGAGCCAAGGACAGCGAGCUGCAAAGGCAGAAGGUGUGUUACGAUUCGCACUGUUCGUGCACCACCGCCGAACUGCGUGGCCCACUCGGUGAAGCCGUCCUUUUAUGCGUCUUUCACAACCAGCUGGCGUUGCGGCCACGUGAAGAUCCAAGCGCAGGCGCAGGACCACGGUGACCAAGCCUGCAGCGGAGCGUCCGUCCACGAGGUUGAUAAGGGCGGUCUUCCGUGAGUUGAGCCAAGGACAGCGAGCUGCAAAGGCAGAAGAUGGAGAAAAGGUUUCUGUCCACUUUGUCAUGACCUGCACCUGUUCAUCACCAGCUCCCGCUGUGCAGUAUUCUACUCUUGAGCAGUCAUCUGUCUCACUUUUCCAGGGAUUCCGCAUACUGCAAGGUCUUCUCUGAACUUCUUCAUUCUGCCCUCCGGCUGCUCUGCGGAGCUGUACGUGUGGUCAAGAAGGACAUUCUCCAAGGCAGUAGUUGAUGUCCCACCAUCACUCUGUAUGUGGCAGCUACGUGAGGCUUCCUCGGUGGCUGGUGAUGGAGUGUCAUGCGCCUGCGAUUGAAUGUAUAAUGCCUGCUAACUUAGCCACCUAUUCACAGGACAGAGCACCGUUAACAUCCAUCCAAUCCAGUUUUAUAACACACAAGCAUGAUGAUUGUUCAUGGCAAGGCUGCAAUGACACUUAUUUUUACAUUGACAGGUAAUCAAUGUAACUGUCUGAUAAUGUAAUGGUUGUGGAGGGGGGACCUGUCAGAAUCCACACAGCACGUGUGUGGGACAUGUUACGCAUGUGUCGAGUUCUCUGGUCCUUUCAAUCCGCAAAAGCUGCAUACUUUACCAACGAAGGAUUGCAUUACAAGCUGACUGCUGACAGACCCAUGCACCAAGCUCGCUUGUUUGUGCUGUUGCUCAUUUAUACAUUUCCUUUUUUACUUGGCUUGUUCCAUACAAAAGCCGCAUGCAAUGAACACCUUAACUUGUGCACUCUACAUGGCGCUUCUUUUCACAGACAGCGAUGAGUGUGUUUUCAUAAUUUAGCGUUGCCAGUAGCCUUCAUCGUGAUUGUAUGACCAACAUGCAUGCAAAUUAAUAAUGUUUCCCCUUUUCGGCUACAACUUCAUUCUCCUGUACAUGCAAUACAACUACGUGAUUGAUAGCAGUACGCUGUAUUGGUACCUUCUCUUCUUUCAUGUCAAUUGUGCAUUGAAUGAGGCUUUUCCUUAAAAAAAAUUCAUUGUACAACUUCUGUAAAUUUCGCUAUGAUUGUCUGCACACAUGGAAGAAGAGCCCAGCAGAGAUACCUAUUGGCAUGCAAAAGUGAAAUGUAUAAUAAAACCACUUCGCUACGAUUGCAUCCUUGUGUAAAACAUUAAACACGAUCUGUCUCGAAGCUUCUGCUGUAGCACUUGCCGCUCUAUAUUAACACAUGCCACUAUUUGUCAAUUCGGUUUUUGCGGUUUCUAUUAUUACACUUACUGUAUUGCUAUGAGGCAUAUGAGCUCCAUGACUGGAAUGGCUAUCCUCUAAAAUUUUUUACAAGCAGUGCGGGGCUUCAAAGAAUGAGUUACGUAGUACCAAAGUUGUUUAAAAGUUCCAUUAACACUUUCACAUCCUCUUACAUCUGCACAUAAACAGCAUGAGCUAGGCAGGUAAGAAAUUUGCCUGGUUGUGAAAAGUCAUGCACGAAUUGAUUCAUGGCUGUGCAUGCUAAGUGCUGUUACCACAUUUUUAUAACAUCGUUGCUGUUCUCGCAAAACUCCACCACUUUGUAGGUUUUUUGGCACCACCGGCUGUUGUAUCCCGUCACGGCUUUGCAUACAC